AGUGAACGCUGGCGGUAGGCCUAACACAUGCAAGUCGAACGGCAGCACAGUAAGAGCUUGCUCUUACGGGUGGCGAGUGGCGGACGGGUGAGGAAUACAUCGGAAUCUACUUUUUCGUGGGGGAUAACGUAGGGAAACUUACGCUAAUACCGCAUACGACCUACGGGUGAAAGCAGGGGAUCUUCGGACCUUGCGCGAUUGAAUGAGCCGAUGUCGGAUUAGCUAGUUGGCGGGGUAAAGGCCCACCAAGGCGACGAUCCGUAGCUGGUCUGAGAGGAUGGUCGGCCGCACUGGAACGUGGACCCGGUCCCGACUCCUGAGGGAGGCAGCAGUGGGGAAUAUUGGACAAUGGGCGCAAACCUGGUCCAGCCCUACCGCGUGGGGUAAGGAGGCCCUCGGGGUGUAAAGCCCGUUUUUUGGGAAAGAAAAGCAGCAGGUUAAUACCCCGCUGUUCUGACGGUACCCAAAGAAUAAGCACCGGCUAACUUCGUG
rnacentral:rRNA from 1 species